rnacentral:lncRNA from 1 species
CACUGGGCCCAAAGUCCCCCGACUCUCAGGAUCCCAAGUGUGGGGACCCAAGGUUCUAUGGCCUCAAUGUUGUCCAGGCUUUGCCCCCAAGAGCCACUUUUUCCCAGGACCUGCAAUUGGCCAUGCUGUAUACCACCUCUCAGGGCAUGUCCCACUCUAAGGGGCUCCUUGCAUAGCUUACAGCAUUGCUCAUCAGAUGGGGUGGUGACAUUCUGCUGACAGAUAUUAAAGCUGUUCUGGUUUCACUCCCAGAAGCACCUGUCAGCAGAGUUUUGACCAACUCCCAAGUCCUCCUGCACUGUCCCAGGGGAGCUGCUUGCCAGAUGAUGCUGGUGAUGCUGCUGAGGCAAGAGCCUAGUGGUGUCUCACCUCUGCAUCUGUCAGUGAGGUCCCCUUAGGGAACAGGUGUCUCACUCAAGUUGGGAUCAUUCAGUAAGGGCUUGUUUCCAAAAGAGCUGUUGGGAUGGGUGGGGGAUGGUAGGGGAACCACAGGAGUGGUCACUAACAAGCAGCUGUUACCAUCCCUGGGCCCUGCAUUUGGGGGUGGGGAUGGAGAACAAGCUUGAAAGAAAAGUCACUUCUUAACAGUGCCCUUUGGUCAAGGGCACAGACAGGUAGAAAUGACCUGCCUCCUCUGCUCUGAUAUCCUGCCCAGGCUCCUCAUGGACGGAACUCAACCAGGAGGCAGUGACAGAGUCCAUCCAGAUAGCUCAGCCUCCCAGGGAAGAAGGGGUAGGAGCUCAAGGAACAUGUGGAACACAUCUAGGACCAGGAUCCCCUCAUUUUCUCUUCAUUUUGUAUGUGACCCCAUCAAAUUUCACUCCCAAGAAUUGGCUAAAAGGCUGUUUCUUCAUUCUGUGCAUGUAUGAUCUAUUGCCCUGCUGCAGAUUAGUCUAAAAGUUACAGCUUAGCAUUCUGUCAGUUUUUGCAGAUCAGGAAUCCAAGGCAGCUAAGCUGGGUGGUUCUGGCUUAGGGCAGCUCAGGGUGUUGCAGUCAUCUGAAGGCUUGACUGUGGCUGGAGGAUCUGUUCCCAAGGCACCUGGCACACACUUCUGGUGAGGUGUGACCAGCUCACCCUGGUUUUCCCAGGACUGUUGAUGUACUGGAUAUGACUCCUGUGACUUUCUACAUUGGAGGAGUUGACUGUUCAAAUAGACCUGAUGGCCCUCAGAUCCUAAAAUGUUUAGAAUCUGUUGCUUUCCAGAAGACUUGCCAACCCUUGACACACGACCAUGCUAAGAAUCACUCCAGAGGAGAUGCAACAGUGUGGUGCAAAGACCCCCCCCAAAUGCCUCUCAGGACUGAGCUAAGCCCAUUCCAUGCAUUCUGGGUCAUAUACUGAGUCUCCGGAUGUCACCUGGCUAGGGCUUCCAAAGCUCUGAAGCCUGGUCAUCCUAAAUCCAUGCUAUAGUGCACAUCAGACAGGUGCUACCAGAUGUAGCAUGAUAUUCAAGAAACCUCUUUAAGUCAGAUGGUGCUGGUGGCCUGCCCAUGUCCCCUGGCUUUCUCUACUUCAGUGUACUCAAGCCCAACUUUAAUCGCACUGAUGACUCUCCAUCUGGAGCUUUCUCUGGCUGUUGAAACCCGGCACACAGCAGCCUAGGAUGGGGCAGGGAGUAAACAUCACAGGGAGCAGCCCUCAGCCAGUAAAUAACAGAGGCUGAUGUCAGAAAACCCCAGCUGCCUAGAUCCUCAUGUUCUCCAAAUGCCCCACAGUGGUGAUGGGUUUGGUAACUUAUGGGCUGCCUUUCUUCUUUUGUCUCCUUUCUCAAACUUUGUCAGUAUUUUCCCACUCACCUCCCAAAUGCCUUCCUCUCAUCUUUUAUCUUGGGGGUCCUUCGCACACGACCCAACCUAGGACACUGGGCCCCUCAACCUGGGGUAGCCUGAAAGUCUGAGACCUGGCACGGACAGCUGAUACCAAUGUCUGAUCUUGCCACUUAGCUGUUGUGACUUUGGUUAGAAAGCAGAAUGAGUUUGCCUGGUUUUCAUCUAUAGAAUAGGAAUACCCCAUCAUGAAAUCCUGAUUGACUGAGACUAAUUAGACUAGUUAGAAAACCUGCCCCCGACCACCACCACCAAGUUCUUUUGCUAUGACUCCCCCGACUCUGGACUCCUGCCUGGAGUCCUCUGCCUUUGCUCCUGCUCUGCACACAAUAACUGCCACCACUUUGCCUCCUGCUGUUGGUGCUGCAGGUCAAGAUCACCGACCUGCAGGUGAUGAGUGGGUCUAUCAAGAACAAGGAUGAGAAAAUAGCCCCUGACAUUUGCUCCAUCUGGAAGAUCCUGAGACUUGUGCUUUCCUACCUCUAUGGGGCAAGUAGCUGUAACUGGCAAGCAUACAGUUCUCUGGGAUUCAAGAUACCAAACUGGCGGGGGGCGUUCCUGUUGUGGCUCAGUGGUAAUGAACCCGAUUAGUAUCCAUGAGGAUGCAGGAUCAAUCCCUGGCCUCGCUCAGGGGAUUAAAGGAUCCUGUAUUGUUGUGUGCUGUGUUGUAGGCAGACAUGGUGUGGAUAUGGCGUAGGCCAGCAGCUGCAGCUCCAGCUCAACCCCUAGCCUGGGAACUUCCAUGUGCCAGGGUGUGGCCCUAAAAAGCCCCCCCCCCAAAAAAGAUAGGAGUGGGCUUAAGAGAGGUUCUUUGGCUGCCUGAGCCUGAGGGCAAGUCAAUCUGCCAAAUUUAUCAUCACGUUUCCAGGUCUGAUGAUGUCAAGUCUACUGGUGUUCUUCCUCAGAAGCAGCAGUGGAGGGGCAUUCCAGGGGUUUCAGAACCCAGUAGAGAGAUACCUGCAAGCCAGGGGCGUAGCUGGUAUGUCUAGAAUAUAAUAUGCCUUAACUGAAUUCUUGAAUUGUGGGGAUCUUACUCAUUUUAUUCUGGUGGAUGCUGACCUAACAUUGCUCCAUGGCUUGAACUCUGAUGGGUAGAACUGCAAAAUGUCAUCUUGGCACUAAGGGUGACAGUCCAUCCCUGGGGCUAGGGUGAGGGCUACAGAGAAAGGGGGGUGGGUGAUAAUGGUCUCUCCUAGUAGGAAACAUUAGAACUAAUUAAGGAUGCAGGAUAGGACCUUCAAAGGUGGAUGGAUAAAGUAAGAGACCAGAUGAGAAUUCUAGGUAGGAUAUACUCCAGGAAGGAUUUCUGUAGGUGAAGAAUGUCAAGCAAGGCUGAGAGAGAAGGAUGGAACCAGGGAGAAAGGCAUGCUGGCAGGAAGAGGACGGCAAAAGUUUUUAUGAAGAAGCAUUUCGGAACCUCAGGAAGACUUUGGAGGAUGAUUGGAUAGUCAAAUAAGGCAUGUGGCUUUCAAAUCAGUCUUGGGUUUGAAUUUGACCCAACCACUCAUGAGCAGAGAGAGCUAGGGCAAUGUUUAUGAUUUCCACUCUACUCAUCAGUUUUUUAAAAAAAAUAUAUAUAUAUAUAUAUAAAGUGGGAAUUCAUAACUACCCCCCAAGGGGGUUUUGAAAGGAUUACAGCAGCCAACAUGGGUUGACUGUCCAGCAUGGUGCCUGGUGCAUUACAGAUGAACAGGAAGUGUGCCAUUAUUGGUCUGUGUGUGACCUGAGGAAGACGGGUGAGUGUUUCUGCACAGCCCUGACAGUAGAAAUUAUAGGAAGGCAGACUAGUUUGGCUUUAGAAGGAAUUCUCUGGCUUUCAGGGCUGUGUGAAUAAAGAAUGGGGGUCGGGGGUCCUCCUCCAUUAUUGGAGCAGCUGCAGGCUCACUCUUUGGCGGGCCUGCUGUCAAGGGUUUUGAGACUGCCUUGGAUGGGUGGUCUGAUGAGAAAACUGUGGUGACUCCAAACUGAGUGAUGUGCGUGAAUCUUGAUUUUUGGAGAUGCUGAGGGGAUCCUGUUCUAACCAAAAGCUCUGAAAACAAUUUUGUUUCUAAAUCUCUUCCUGUUUGAGCCUUGUAUCUUACUGCCUGAUCAAGGAUUUUCAUUAGAAGAAGUGAAGUAGAUAAUAGGUAUGAAAAAUGUUUUGACCUCCUUUAAGAUAGUUGCUGGAAUGUAAUUUCAUUUUAUUACAAAUUGAGAUUCUGUGAGGUAGUCAUGCCCAACCUAGACAUGUUCUUGAACCUGAGCAAAUUUAAUCAUUUAAAUGCACUGGGAGAGAGCUUGCUGUUUAAUUCACACUGGAGGAUGAUUCUUGUGGAAAAGGAUUCAUAGCAACAUGGCUGGAUUUGUAUAUACUGGACUUAAAGUGACUUGUGAACACCAUUUUCCAAAUACGUAUUGUAAAAUGAAAGUUGUGUUCUUGUGAGGGUGAGGGGAUCUUUAGGAUCAUUAGGAAAGGACAUACAGCAUGCCAUGUAGAUCCUGACAUCUCCCUAAAAGGUCUUGCCUGUGCCUUCACUAGCUCAUCCUCUGGGUUGUGCAAAUCUAAUGUGAUACCAACUGAGGCAGAACCUGGGAUUCCUCCCACUUCCCUUGGACCUUUAGAGUAUCAGGACUGACUUCCAACUGUCCUAUCAACAUCUCUGUGCCUAAGAGCUUUUGCUGAAAUUACAGGGCAAUUGACAUCCCUCAAGGAGUUCCUGUUGUGGCUCAGUGGUAAUGAACCUGACUAGUAUCCAUGAGGACUUGGGUUUGAUCUCCAGCCUCACUCAGUGGGUUAAGGAUACAGUGUUGCCAUGGGCUGUGGGGUAGGUCACAGGCAAGGCUUGGACCCCUCAUAGCUGUGGCUGUGGCUGUGGUUGGUGGCUGCAGCUCUGAUUGGACCCCUAGCCUGGGAACUUCCAUAUGCUGCAGGA